UACGAAGGGGGCUAGCGUUGCUCGGAAUCACUGGGCGUAAAGCGCACGUAGGCGGCUUUUUAAGUCAGGGGUGAAAUCCUGGAGCUCAACUCCAGAACUGCCUUUGAUACUGAGAAGCUUGAGUCCGGGAGAGGUGAGUGGAACUGCGAGUGUAGAGGUGAAAUUCGUAGAUAUUCGCAAGAACACCAGUGGCGAAGGCGGCUCACUGGACCGGUACUGACGCUGAGACGCGAAAGCCAGGGGAGCAAACGGG
rnacentral:rRNA from 1 species